UACGGAGGGUGCGAGCGUUGUCCGGAAUCAUUGGGCGUAAAGGGCGCGUAGGUGGCCCGCUCAGCGUGCGGUGAAAAGCUCGGGGCUCAACCCCGAGUCGGCCGUGCGAACUGGUGGGCUGGAGCACUGUAGAGGCAGGCGGAAUUCCGGGUGUAGCGGUGGAAUGCGUAGAGAUCCGGAAGAACACCGGUGGCGAAGGCGGCCUGCUGGGCAGUUGCUGACACUGAGGCGCGACAGCGUGGGGAGCAAACAGG
rnacentral:rRNA from 1 species